CAACGGCUGGCGGCGUGCUUAACACAUGCAAGUCGAACGGAAAGGCCCUGCUUUUGUGGGGUGCUCGAGUGGCGAACGGGUGAGUAACACGUGAGUAACCUGCCCUUGACUUUGGGGAUAACUUCAGGAAAACUGGGGGCUAAUACCGGAUAGGAGCUCCUGCUGCAUGGCGGGGGUUGGAAAGUUUCGGCGGUUGGGGAUGGACUCGCGGCUUAUCAGCUUGUUGGUGGGGUAGUGGCUUACCAAGGCUUUGACGGGUAGCCGGCCUGAGAGGGUGACCGGCCACAUUGGGACUGAGAUACGGCCCAGACUCCUACGGGAGGCAGCAGUGGGGAAUAUUGCACAAUGGGCGGAAGCCUGAUGCAGCAACGCCGCGUGCGGGAUGACGGCCUCCGGGUUGUAAACCGCUUUCGCCUGUGACGAAGCGUGAGUGACGGUAAUGGGUAAAGAAGCACCGGCUAACUACGUG
rnacentral:rRNA from 1 species